GCGAAGCCCUAGGGGAGUCCGCCGACAAGACCGUCGAACCUCUCGUCUGUCCCUGUCGAAGGACUGAGAGCCCGGGGAAGCGCGGCGCUGUCGGGCCGCGCCGCCGGGGACCCUGGAACCUGAUCUGGGUCAUGCCAGCGUAGGAAAGCGGCUUCCUGGAAGG
rnacentral:ncRNA from 1 species